UGUGGACAAUUUGGUAUUUAU
rnacentral:piRNA from 1 species